AAGACAAAAAGGCACCUCUUAACUCCCUUCUUCCUUCACGGUUAAGUAUUGAAGAGGUGAAGUCAAAAUUUUGCUUCUCAAUAUUGUGUUAAUCACAUACUACUUAAAUCUUAUCCUAUCAGUUCACUUGUUCUCUUUUAAGUGUAUAACAACAAACAAGUUAUACUCCAUGAUCUCCUAUUUGGGCAAGGCAACGCCACCACCACUACCACAAUUCAAUCAUCUCCACCGUACCCUUCCCCUGCUCUAAGUUGCUACUCUCAUGCACCGACCCAGCUCGCGCAACCACCUGGUUCACGCCCUUCUUCUUCCUCCUCCAUUUAUAGCUUGUUCCAUAGAAAAACCCACUACUCCAUUUGUGCAAGUCAAAAAGAAUCGAACCUCAGAGCUCAGUGAGAACGAUAGAAUAAAGGCUAACAGGAAGGUUAUCAGACUGUAAAUCGAGGUACUGCUGGGGAUGAUGGAGACGAGUAGUAGCGAGGAUUUUACUUUCAGUUAUCACUUAAUAGUAGUUAUAGUUUUAAUUUGUUUAAUUUGAAUAGUAAGACUAAGCUACUUAGUAAAGUUUGAGAUAAGAUAGGAUUUUCUAUUAUAAAAAUUAAGAAUAAUGUUUGUUAUAAAUAGAUUACUAUGUUUUAUAAAUCAAGUUUGUUAAUUAAGUAUGUUUGUUGCCUUGUAAAUCUCGUGAGGGAUUUACGGCAGUGA